CCUACGGGUGGCAGCAGUGGGGAAUAUUGGGCAAUGGACGCAAGUCUGACCCAGCGACGCCGCGUGCGGGAUGAAGGCCUUCGGGUUGUAAACCGCUUUCAGUAGGGAAGAAGCGAAAGUGACGGUACCUACAAAAGAAGCACCGGCUAACUAUGUGCCAGCAGCCGCGGUAAUACAUAGGGUGCAAGCGUUGUCCGGAAUUAUUGGGCGUAAAGAGCUCGUAGGUUGUUCGUUACGUCGGAUGUGAAAAUCUGAGGCUCAACCUCAGACCUGCAUUCGAUACGGGCGAACUGGAGUGUGGUAGGGGAGACUGGAAUUCCUGGUGUAGCGGUGGAAUGCGCAGAUAUCAGGAGGAACACCAAUGGCGAAGGCAGGUCUCUGGGCCAUUACUGACACUGAGGAGCGAAAGUCUGGGGAGCGAACAGGAUUAGAUACCCUUGUAGUC
rnacentral:rRNA from 1 species